rnacentral:rRNA from 1 species
UACGGGGGGUGCAAGCGUUGUUCGGAAUUAUUGGGCGUAAAGCGCGUGUAGGCGGUCUGAUUAGUCUGAUGUGAAAGCCCUGGGCUCAACCCAGGAAGUGCAUUGGAUACUGUCAGACUUGAAUACGGGAGAGGGUAGUGGAAUUCCUAGUGUAGGAGUGAAAUCCGUAGAUAUUAGGAGGAACACCGGUGGCGAAGGCGGCUACCUGGACCGAUAUUGACGCUGAGACGCGAAAGCGUGGGUAGCAAACAGGAUUAGAUACCCUGGUAGUCCACGCCGUAAACGAUGAGUACUAGGUGUUGCGGGUAUUGACCCCUGCAGUGCCGCAGCUAACGCAUUAAGUACUCCGCCUGGGAAGUACGGUCGCAAGACUA